rnacentral:sRNA from 1 species
UGUAAAAUUGAUUUAGCUGCAACAUCUUGUCACCCCAUUGGCCUCCUGAGUUAAUUUGGCUGAUCUGGCUGGCUAGAGGUAUGUCCCACUCAUCUUUUACCACCAAACAUGCGUCCCUCCUAAAAUUGCUUGCUCGGUGGAAGAGAACCACCACCCCAGACAGAAGCAUAGAAGUUGAGGACCAGCUAAUGGUCCCGAGGCUGCUGAAAGCUAUUCUGGUCUUAUACAUCCUCGUUUGUACCUGUAAUAAUGAUUUUUUU